rnacentral:tRNA from 1 species
GGUGGCUCAGUGGUAGAGUGCUUGCGUUGCAAGCAUGAGGUUCUGGGUUUGAUUCCUUGGCACCA